UACGUAGGGCGCAAGCGUUAUCCGGAAUUAUUGGGCGUAAAGAGCUCGUAGGCGGUUUGUCGCGUCUGCCGUGAAAGUCCGGGGCUCAACUCCGGAUCUGCGGUGGGUACGGGCAGACUAGAGUGAUGUAGGGGAGACUGGAAUUCCUGGUGUAGCGGUGAAAUGCGCAGAUAUCAGGAGGAACACCGGUGGCGAAGGCGCCUGCUGGGCUAUGGCUGACACUGAGGCGCGACAGCGUGGGAGCAAACAGG
rnacentral:rRNA from 1 species